AGAGCGAACGCUGGCGGCAGGCUUAACACAUGCAAGUCGAGCGCUCGUAGCAAUACGAGAGCGGCAGACGGGAGAGUAACACGUGGGAACGUACCCUUUGGUUCGGAACAACACAGGGAAACUUGUGCUAAUACCGGAUAAGCCCUUACGGGGAAAGAUUUAUCGCCAAAGGAUCGGCCCGCGUCUGAUUAGCUAGUUGGUGGGGUAACGGCUCACCAAGGCGACGAUCAGUAGCUGGUCUGAGAGGAUGACCAGCCUCAUUGGGACUGAGACACGGCCCAAACUCCUACGGGAGGCAGCAGUGGGGAAUAUUGGACAAUGGGCGCAAGCCUGAUCCAGCCAUGCCGCGUGGAUGAUGAAGGCCUUAGGGUUGUAAAGUCCUUUUAACGGGGAAGAUAAUGACGGUACCCGUAGAAUAAGCCCCGGCUAACUUCGUGCCAGCAGCCGC
rnacentral:rRNA from 1 species